rnacentral:rRNA from 1 species
UACGUAGGGUGCGAGCGUUAAUCGGAAUUACUGGGCGUAAAGCGUGCGCAGGCGGUUUGGUAAGACAGAUGUGAAAUCCCCGGGCUUAACCUGGGAAUGGCAUUUGUGACUGCCCGGCUAGAGUGUGUCAGAGGGGGGUAGAAUUCCACGUGUAGCAGUGAAAUGCGUAGAGAUGUGGAGGAAUACCGAUGGCGAAGGCAGCCCCCUGGGAUAACACUGACGCUCAUGCACGAAAGCGUGGGGAGCAAACAGG